UCCUGGUUAGCUCAGUUGGAGCGCUCCACCAAAAACGGAGAGGAGGUCGUUGGUUCGAUACCAGCACCAGGCG
rnacentral:tRNA from 1 species